AGUGAGAGGUCCACUUCCAGAUACUCACGCGUGCGGGUCUGUAUUUAUUUGUUUGUCCUAGGCAAAGCCCCAGCUGCAGCCACAGCCACAGCCUUAGCCUGUCUCGGCCCCAGCCUCAGCCCCACACAUUCCAUUAUACAGAUAAAGAGAAAGUUCUCUCUCUCCCAAACGCACAGCAUCCGCAUAAGCAUCGGCCAGCAAAAAAGCUUUGCUUCUCUCGGUAAGCUUUGACACAAGGCGAGCUUUAUUGCGCAGGUGAUGAUGCUAAAGUAUGUCACCGGGACAUCUGGGUAUCUCCUCUCCACUGCAUUCCGUUACACAUACACAGAUGUUAGUUCUUAUUAUUGUUAUUCGCCCGAGGAUUCCCAUUUAACAAUUGUCAACUGAAAACUUUUCAAUUACAGUGGAUAAAUUGAAUAUUAUAUACAAUUACUAGACUGGACAAAUAGAUAUGCAACUGUAUAUUUUCUCUACCCUGAUGUUACGCACAUAACUGAAUAAGCAUAUGGAUUUUUUGGAAUCGUUUAGUCAGACACUAAAUAUUUUCAAUUAUAGAUAUUAGUACCCAGACUUAAAGUCUUCAUUCAUUUAUGAUAACAAAUAUAGCUCAUUCACAAAUCAAAUGUAUGACAUAAUUUAUUGCAUAAUAUUCUAUUAUUCAAAAUUUUGUGACACAACUCAUUAAUUAUAAAUUUCACAAUUUACCUAAUCUAUAAUAUCUUAUAUCACAACUUUUGGCUAGGGAUUAAAACAUUUCUAUAUCAUGUGCAAAAAAA